rnacentral:tRNA from 1 species
GGGCUAGUAGUUCAACUGGAUAGAACGUUUGCCUCCGGAGCAAAAGGUUGCAGGUUCAAGUCCUGCCUAGCCCACCA